rnacentral:rRNA from 2 species
CUUGGUGAGUGGCGGACGGGUGAGUAACACGUGGGUAACCUGCCCAAAAGUGGGGGAUAACAUUUGGAAACAAGUGCUAAUACCGCAUAACAACUACUUUCACAUGAUCGUAGCUUGAAAGAUGGCUCUGCUAUCACUUUUGGAUGGACCCGCGGCGUAUUAGCUAGUUGGUGAGGUAAUAGCUCACCAAGGCAAUGAUACGUAGCCGACCUGAGAGGGUAAUCGGCCACAUUGGGACUGAGACACGGCCCAAACUCCUACGGGAGGCAGCAGUAGGGAAUCUUCCACAAUGGGCGAAAGCCUGAUGGAGCAAUGCCGCGUGAGUGAAGAAGGUUUUCGGAUCGUAAAACUCUGUUGUUGAAGAAGAACAUGCGUGAGAGUAACUGUUCACGUACUGACGGUAUUCAACCAGAAAGCCACGGCUAACUACGUGCCAGCAGCCGCGGUAAUACGUAGGUGGCAAGCGUUGUCCGGAUUUAUUGGGCGUAAAGAGAAUGUAGGCGGUCUAUUAAGUUUGAAGUGAAAGCCCUCGGCUCAACCGAGGAAGUGCUUCGAAAACUGGUAGACUUGAGUGCAGAAGAGGAAAGUGGAACUCCAUGUGUAGCGGUGGAAUGCGUAGAUAUAUGGAAGAACACCAGUGGCGAAGGCGGCUUUCUGGUCUGUAACUGACGCUGAGAUUCGAAAGCAUGGGUAGCAAACAGGAUUAGAUACCCUGGUAGUCCAUGCCGUAAACGAUGAGUGCUAAGUGUUGGAGGGUUUCCGCCCUUCAGUGCUGCAGCUAACGCAUUAAGCACUCCGCCUGGGGAGUACGACCGCAAGGUUGAAACUCAAAGGAAUUGACGGGGGCCCGCACAAGCGGUGGAGCAUGUGGUUUAAUUCGAAGCAACGCGAAGAACCUUACCAGGUCUUGACAUACCAUGAAAAGCUUAGAGAUAAGUCUUUCCCUUCGGGGACAUGGAUACAGGUGGUGCAUGGUUGUCGUCAGCUCGUGUCGUGAGAUGUUGGGUUAAGUCCCGCAACGAGCGCAACCCUUAUUAUCAGUUGCCAGCAUUCAGUUGGGCACUCUGGUGAGACUGCCGGUGACAAACCGGAGGAAGGUGGGGACGACGUCAAAUCAUCAUGCCCCUUAUGACCUGGGCUACACACGUGCUACAAUGGUCGGUACAACGUGUUGCGAACUCGCGAGGGCAAGCAAAUCACUUAAAACCGAUCUCAGUUCGGAUUGCAGGCUGCAACUC